ACCGAGUUUGAGAUCAUAAUUAAAUCAGGAAAGCAUUGCAUUUUUAUUGUAUUUUAGGUCAGAAUAAUUACUUUUUUGAAUUUUUUUGAUUAUAAUAUCGCUUAGUUUAUUGCGUACUUCCAUUUCUAAAUAACUAAAAAUUCAUCCUUUCAAAAAAGUAAAAAUGAUAAAAAUGGCAAGCGGCAUUAGCAACAAAAUUAGGGACCAAGUUAGGUUAAAAGUAGGGUUUUUCUCUGAAAAAUACUCAAAAAUAAACUUGUAGCUAAAAAUAUGGGUUAGAAAUCCCGCCUCUUUUAUAAAGAUUACUAAAAAAAUAAUUGUAAAUUUAAGUUUUGCUAGACUAAAAAGCCUGUUAAAACGCAUAUGAACCUCCUAGGUAAAAUUUUUGAUUAAAUUUUAAGCAAAAAUUUUUGAGAUUUCUAAU
rnacentral:rRNA from 1 species